GUUUUCUCUGGUCCAUCAAGGGAUCUCCUUCUUCUUUGUGCUGCUUGAAGAAAACUCGAAGACCUUACGAUCUCUCUUCCGCUUCCUCGGCAAAGUAACGUUCCGGCGUUAUGUCAAUCACUGAAGAAAACCCACUAAAGCCACGAUUUCCUCUUCAUUGCAACUUUUUGGAUUGCCUCAGUUUCACUCUGUAUAUCCUUUUGUUCUCUAGCUUCUCCUCUUUACCAAAAUUACAAAAAUCAAAGAAUCUUAGCAAGCUUCUACAGUCCAAGAGAAAAAGCAGAGAAUUUUGUCAAAGAAAGGUUAACGAGUUAAAGGCUUAUGAAAACCGGAGCUAAACUCAUAGCGUGUAUUCUGAUUCUGUGGCCAUUGAUUUAUUGAUUUAAUAGGGAUGAAAUUGCUUCUGAUUCUUUGAGUGAUGAGAACCCACGUCAGGUUUUUAAAAACUGUGUAGGUUCAAAGGUUCAUUCUGCAGAUCAAAUGAUCAUAUGGAUGACUCAGCAUCGAGCACUGAAACUUCACAUGUACUCGCUCCAUCUCUCUCUUCUCUCUGGUCUCAUGGCGAUUAUGAUUCUGUUUUUAUUUAACUCCAAGGUAUUCUUACCUGAUUAAUUUGUUUACAGGAAGCAAAAUACGCUGCUGUAUAGGACUAUAAAUCUUCUUAUAAUCUUAGGCUUCUUAGUUUUUUUAGGGUUUUGGCAGAAAUUCGAAAUUAAUAUGACAAAUAUUGCAGAGAACGUGUUGAGAUUCAUAAAAAGUCGUACGAGGCAGAUGGGACUUUUGGCUCACCAGAUCAUUCUCUUAGCCAACUGCAAAAAGUUAUGGACACUACAACCGACAAUGGAACUAGGGGUCUCAAUAUAUAUAUGUGGCAGGGGGUUGGUGUCAAUGCUCAUGUGGAUAAUGAACUGCCCCAGUUUGUUGCUGACAUUGUUGGGAAGACCUUCACUUUUCAGCUCAUGCUAUGAGCGUUCAACUUCACUUCCAAGCAUCAAACCUUCACCAUCUCCCGUUCUUUUACUGAGUGUCAGCAUGCACCACUCCCAGACUUUUUGGUGAUGGAGCUCAACAUGGUCCUGAUGAUCGGAUUCCUGUCCAGAAUCCAAUAGCUUCUAAGGUCUCUGAUGGUACCAGUAGAACUGUUGUUGAGCAGACUGAUGGUGUGGCAGCAACACUUGUGAAAAUACAAAUGUCAACCAUCAAACUUCCUCAUCUGUUGUACCAGAAAGAGGGGGUUCAGCAUCUAACAAUCAGACUGUUGGCUCAAAGAAUGGAAAGAAGGCACGGUUGGAUUAGAUCCAACUAGAAAACACAAAUCACCAUUACAUUUCCUUAUGUUUAUAUGUCGUCAUUUUCGUUUGGUUAUGCACUGUAACUUAGAACUUUAUCUAUUUUUAACUAAACUCAACAUGGCGGCGGCGGUGUUUAACCUAUCAAUGAAAGUUUUUUCAGUAUA